UACGGGGGGGGCAAGCGUUGUUCGGAAUUACUGGGCGUAAAGGGCUCGUAGGCGGCCAACUAAGUCGGACGUGAAAUCCCCAGGCUCAACUUGGGAACUGCGUCCGAUACUGAUUGGCUUGAAUCCGGGAGAGGGAUGCAGAAUUCCAGGUGUAGCGGUGAAAUGCGUAGAUAUCGAGAGGAACACCUGCGGCGAAGGCGGGUUGCUGGGCUGACACUGACGCUGAUGCGCGAAAGCUAGGGGAGCGAACGGG
rnacentral:rRNA from 1 species